UGGGAACGUGCAGCCAUGAGGUCCAGGGUGCAUUUUAGAGAGGACGGGUUGGAGGUCAUGGUGUGGUCUGGAAGAAAGGUCAGGAAAUGGAAUCAUGGUGUUAGUGGUUUAGAAAAGUGGUCCGAUGCCAGAGGCUAAGUUACUUGGCUUGGUUCACACAUCAGCAAGUUCAAACCGAGUUCAGUUGUGCUGCGAAGCCAAUAUGCUAAGUCACCAUAAUUUAACAACAGGUUUCCCCUCAAGGUAUCAUGACAUUAUUUUUUUGGGUCUCAACCAACUAGCAUUUGUCAAAGAGAGAUGGAGAGAGAGAGAAUGAAAAGAAGGAAGGAAGGAAGGAAAGAAGGAAGGAAGGAAGGAAGGAAGGAAAUAGAAUAGAAUAAAAUCACAGUUUAUUUCACGGAGUGAAGGAAGGGUUGCUGCGUGCAAAUGUGUUUCUGUGCUGUAUGCUUAUCUGCAGAUGGAUGUACCGGGCUGUGAUAUGAAACCUAUUUUUAUGGCUGGUUGUGGCUCCUCUGAGCUGCUAUUGGGUUUGCCCUCCACCCCCUCUCACGCUGACUCUGGGCCCUUCAAAAUGAGUCAUAGAGAGUCAUUACCACUCCCCCCGACCCAACCCUGACUCUGCUGUACACCUCAUGGUUUCUGAUAAUACAGCAUUGUGAAGUCGGGGGAAGGCUGGCAGAGGGGCCCAGUCUAGUCUGUGACCUGAGCCAUCAUGGUAGGGUGUCCAGGGUGAGGGGAGGGUGGUGUGAAUCCCCAGUAAUGCAGGUCCUUUCCAGGCCAGGCCCCUGGUCCCCAGGAGUGCGGGGAUGCCUGAGGUCUACUGCUGCCUUAUCCAGAGCUGCCAUCCCCGGCGAUGACUCAGAGUUCCUGUGGCCCCAGCAUCAUCCCUCCAUCCCUGGCUGUGAGGCAGGAGCAGAGUUGCAGACCUGAGAGGCCUUGAAUUUGUUUGAUAUAGGACUUUGCCACCAGACAAAGUGCUUUGCCUGUGAGGUCUGGCUUGGCCUGGCCUCUGAGAAAGAACAAACACAGACCUCACUGGAAGGAACCUGGAGAACGGGAGAGGAGAGGCUGCUGCUGUCUGCCCUCCCAGCAGCAGAUAUAAAGACAAUGGGCUUCUAAGUCCCCUAGAGUCCCAGCUGUGUAAUUUAAGGCGAGUUCAUCUCUCACAGCCUCAGUUUCCUCAUUUGCUGGCACCUGUCUUUCUCCUUCAUAGCCAUUGUCACUGUUGCAAUGAUAUCAACAAUGCUUACAUUUCAGAUAGAUCCCCAGCUGGGUUGAAAGGAACGUCAAGACCCUUCCUUUCUUAUGACCUAUGUAUCAACUCCCUUCUACCUUGCCUCCCUCCACUUGGAGCGAGUUCUAGUUGGUGAAAUGUAGCCAGAGGUUCCUGGAAAGGCUUUCCUUCUCAAGUAAAGCCUGGCUCAGAGAAAACCACUGGUCUCUUUCCUUUUCUUCCUCCUGACAUGAACAUGGGGCAGGAAGGAGCAUGGAGAAGACAAGAACAAGGCUCUCAGAAGGAAAUGGUGUGGCUGGAGCCAUGAGAACUGGUUGUGGAGGGGGCAAAUAUAAUUUCUGACCUACGUAAUGAUGUAUGCACAAGAAGCCUCUCUUGAAUGUAUUAAUUCAGUAAACAGUUAUGGAGUCCUUACAAUGUGCUAGUGGGACUUUGAAGAUGAAUCCAAAUUUGGAUCCUGGCCUGGAAAGGCUCAAAGCCCAAUAUGGGAGCCUGGAUACAAAUGUGAAACUUAUCUUCUUUUAUUAACCAAUCAAUCACCUCCUGCCAAAACAACAUCAGCAAAAACAACAGAAAAAAACAAAAACAAAAACAAAAACAAAUCUGUGUACACAAGACCUUUGUUUCCACAGCAGACUUGGCUAAAGGUUUGGGCAUGCAUAUGCAUACCCCCAAAAUUAAAAAUGGAAAAUUGAACACUUCUGUCCUUCAAAGUUAUUUGUUCUCUCCUACAGGGUCUCACUCUUAUCUUCGUUCUUCUCCCCGCACUCCCACCACCUUACUUACUCCCAUGGCAUGCUACAUCCUUGAAUAAAUAUGCCCAAGGCAGAUGUGGUAAUGAAGAUUGGUUGAGAAUUCUGAAGGCAGACGUCCCAGACGCCAAUCACACAAUUUCUCUGUGGCUCACUUUUCUUAUCUGUGAAAAGGGAGCUAGUUACCACCAGC
rnacentral:lncRNA from 10 species